AUCUAGUUGGUGAAUCCGAAAUAGAACGAGACGCGCGUCCUGGAU
rfam:Schistosoma haematobium scaffold462_5, whole genome shotgun sequence.